CAGAGUGAGACUCCACCUCAAAAAAAAGAAAAAAGGAAAACCAAGCAAAAGUCACUGUCAGGGGACCUCCCACCCACCAUACAGGGGAACACUCGGCAGAGCCAGAGGCCUGGGCCCAAGUCCUGCCACCAGCUGGCUGUGAAACUGUGGUACAGCACCUUGUGUCCUGCCACCAGCCGGCUGUGAAACUGGUACAGCACCUUGUCCUCAGGUCCUUGGUUUCCUCACUUGUAAAUUCAUGGUUCUCCAUGGCAUCUCUGGUCUUCAACAUUAUUUUGCAUAGAGUCUCAGAAGCUUUAGUGUGAGCGGAUGAUAUGGGCACGAAGCAAGGCACCCAGAAGUGGGGGCAACUACUCUGCUUUCUAAAAUGCAAGGGAACCGGAAAAUCCAGGAGCCGUGCCAAAUGAGAAGAGGAACAAAUGGAGGAACAUCCCAGUCAAGUGACAUUCCUAGUGACAUUCACCAGAACAGAGUCAAGCUUUGGAUCCCAUGUUCUGUGACUUCCUCUUCACCACGCUUCCUCCACACACGUAGCAGCUCAAGGGUUUCUGAUGAGUGGGGUCUAUGUUCCCUUUAUGAGCUGUAACGCACACCAUGAAGGUCUGCGGCUUGGCUAUUGAGUCAGUGAGAGCGUGAACCUACUAUUAGAAGAAAAACUCUGAAUACGUCUGAACGUCAGAAAGAACGAAGUUUGGACACAUUGUCUUUAAGAACUGUAACACUCACCCCAAGGGUUUAUGGAUUCAUUCUUGAAAUCAGUGAAACCAAAAGCUUUCCAAAGUUUAACACACAGGGAAAUGACUUACUGCAAAGAACCACUCUUCCCCACGAGACUUCGAGAAGACCCGCUGUCACGGACUGAGUUGUGUCCUCUUAAAAUUCAGAUGUUGGAGUCCAAACCCCCAGUAACUCAGAGUGUGAACGUAUUUGAAGAGGUCUUUAAAGAGGUGAUGAAGGGAGAGAGACCCCAUGAGCUCGUCAAGCUCCUUCUGUGACUGAUCAGAGAUCCCACCGUGAGUCCAGCUCCUGGUCCCAUGCUCUGGAUAUAUCGGUCCCUGGCAGCGUGAGUGCCUCUGUGUUCACUGUCCCAUUUGAGAAUUCUAAGUAGAAUUCUGAACAGGCUGGAGCAGAUUGCCCACCCCAAGGGACAGAUGUUGGCUGGUACUGUUGGUAUUCAUGGAAGAUUCCUUCUGACACUCCCUCCUUCUUUGUAAUUGCCAUGAACUGGAGCACUGGGCCAAUAUAAAUCAUCCAAGGGUGAACACGCUGCACAUGGACGGCUCCUCUUUGUUUUUGAAGGGAUUCCAUCUCUAUUUUGCCAUGUGCUCCUUCACCCCACUCCCCACCCCCGUCUUUCAUUUCUUUCUCUGGAAAAGAUACUUCAACUCACAGGACUGCGAUGUUGAAACGGACACCCAAGAGCAUCACAGAUGGGCCAGGCCUGGACCUCUCGGGACAACAUUCCUCACGACUUUUAGAUAGAAGAGAUUAGAGAUUUGGGACUGGUGGCAACUGGUAACGUUUUCAGUGUUUGGUAAACAGCCAGGGUCCGGAGCUCUGGGAACAGCCUGAUUUAGCUCUUUGUUUAAGUUUUGUGUUAGAGGCUCCCAAGAAGCUGAUGCAGGGGAAAGAAAUUAACAACCAUGGCUCAUUCACAGCCAGGCAGCCAAAUGGACAGCUCUAUAAGACUCAAGCCGACAGCGGAGAGAGUGCAACCAAACAGCCUUGGCCCAGCUUUCAGAGGAGAACGUUAUUCACCCCAACUGCUCUGCAUCUGCCUGGAUGUCUGCCAAGAUCUGUGAGCAUUACAGCGUUGGUAUGCUUUGGGUGAGGCCUGUGGCUAUGGCAACAAGUUGGGAGCAACCCGGUCCCUGGGAAUGAGAACAGUGUCUAAAAUCAGGCAGGCGAGGGGCAGGGAGGAGAGGUAAAGGUUGGACUUGCCUGAAGAUGGAGCCGUUUUAUUGUUGUGGGUAAAGCUGCUACCAUUAGGGGCUGUUUACAGAGUGGGUGCAGCUCAAGCUGGGAGCAUGUUAGACUCAGCGACUACGAUCAACCUAUUGACUUGUUCCCAUGAGACAGAGUAAAUUAACUGUUGCAGUACUGGUCAUGUACCACCAACCUCCUGUGAACCAGCCCUCAGUGAAACAUUUAUGUGAAAGGCCAUGGUGUUCCCAUAAGAGGGUGCAUGUUCUCUCCCUUGACUAACUCUUCAGUAUGCCUCAUUCUCACGCGCUGGUGUGCAGGAAGGAGUCCAACAUGCCCCAUUGACAGUCAUGCCCUGUAUGUGGAAAGUCUUCAGGUAGAGCACUGGGCUCAGGUUUGAAGAUGUGAGUUCUAAUCCUAGCAAGGCCAUUACCUCCCAGUGACCUCAUGUCUCGAUUUCCUCAACCACAAAACAAAGGCAUUGGUGAGCUGACCUCUAAGGCCUCUCCAGUUCUCACCUUCUGUGUCUCUACAGACUGGAGACUAGAAGAUUAUGGGCACUUUUAUUGAGUCUUCAUUUUGUUUCCAUUUCUUUGUAGUCAUCAGCUGGAGUUGAGGACAAGUUUUAACAAUAGAUAGGUUUCUUUUUGUCUCUUUUUAAAAAAUUUUAUUUAAAAUAAAUGCCAAGUGUAGUGGCUCAUACCUGUAAUCCCAGCACUUUGGGGAGGCCAAGGUGGGAGGAUUGCUUUUGAGUUUGAGACCAGCCUGGGCAACGUGGUGAGACCCUGUUUGUACAAAAAAUUUUAAAUUAGCCAGGCAUGGUGGCGUGUGCCUAUAGUCCUAGCUACUCUGGAGGUAGAGGCAGGAGGAUCCCUUGAACCUGGGAGGUUGAGGCCACAGUGAGCUGUGAUUGUGCUAUUGAACUCUAGCCUGGGCAACAGAGCAAGACCCUGUCUCUUAAAAAAGACUAUUUUUUAAGAACACUUUUAGGUUCACAGCGAAAUUUGGAGGAAACUUGGCAUAUGUCAUAUGCCCCCUGCUCCCAUGCAUGCACAGCCUCUACCAUUAGCAAUGUCCCCACUCAAAUGGUACCUUUGUUGUAAUCAACAACCCUGUACUGACACAUCAUCAUCACCCAAACUCCAUAGUUCACAUUAGGUUUCACUCUUGGUGUGGUGUACAUUCCAUGGGCUUGAACAACUGUAUAAUGACAUUAUCCACCACUGCAGGAUCAUACAGAGUAGUCUCACUGCCCUAAAACUACUCUGUGCUCCACCUGUUUGUCCCUUCUUUCACUCUAAACUCCUGGCAACAACUGACCUUUUUACUGCCUCGAUAGCUUUGCCUUCUUCGGAAUGUCAUGUAGUUGAAAUCAUACAUCAUGAAGCCUUUUCAGAUUGGCUUCAUAUAGGUUUCCUUCCUUCCUUCCUCCCACCACCUUCCUUUCUUUCUGUAUUCCUAACUCUUGGAUGUAUUUUCCCCAGCAUCAUGACUUGAUGGGACUUUUGCUAAGAUAGGCAAUCAUAGAAAGUCAUAAAUCUCUUGUCAGCCUUAUUGGCUCACCUCCGAGAUGGUUCCAACACUCUUUAAGGCCCACUUUUCCAAUCCACAGAUUCCCCAGCAGAAGUCCAAGCUGCUGAGCCUCACAUCAUCUUUUGCACUAGUAAUCUUUACCACUACUUCACUGUAGCAUUUGAAAAUUUUCAUAUGAAGCCAUAGUUCUGUGUCUUUUUUUUUUUUUUUUUUUUUUUGGAGACGGAGUCUUAACCUGUUGCCCAGGCUGGAGUGCAGUGGCACAGUCUUAGCUCACUGCAAGCUCCGCCUCACGGGUUCAAGUGAUUCUUGCCUCAGCCUCCCAAGUAGCUGGGAUUACAGGCGCGCCACCAUGCCCAGCUAAAUUUGUUGGCAUUUUUAGUAGAGAUGGGGUUUCACCAUGUUGGCCAGGCUGGUCUCAAACUCCUUACCUCAGGUGAUCUGCCUGCCUCAGCCUCCCAAAGUGCUGGGAUUAAAGGUGUGAGCCACCGCACCUGGCCUGAAGCCAUAGUUCUUAACCUCAGUUGUGCAAUAGAAUUAUCUGGGGAAUUUAAAAAUUAGAAAAAACCCAUGCCCUGAAGAUUGUGAUCUAACUGGUCUUGCGUAGCGCCUGGGCAUUGGUAUUUUUUAAAUGUUUCCCAACUGAUACUAAUGUGGCCAUUCUGCAAGCCACAGUUGAAAGGCUUAUUCAAGCAUCCUGUUGCUGAAUGCAUGUCGUCCUUACCACAUGACUCUGGAGGUUUUCUUGUAUUCUGAUGUGGCUGCCCUGUUGAGGCCUGCCCCUUAGAGUGGAGAUUAUCCCCUGCAGUAGGCUGCCUGGAAUAUGAUCCCCAGUGAUCCCUGCUUCCUGGUAUUCAGGCCCUGGUGUGAUCCCUUUCCCUUGAAGCCUGGGCUGGAUUAGUGACUUGCUUCUAACCAACAGCAUAUGGCAAAAAUAAAUGUUUAUUGUUUUAAACCUCUGUUUUAGGGUCAUUUAUUACACAGCAAAGAUAAC
rnacentral:lncRNA from 1 species